rnacentral:rRNA from 1 species
AGAGUUUGAUCAUGGCUCAGAUUGAACGCUGGCGGCAGGCCUAACACAUGCAAGUCGAGCGCGAAAGGCUUUCGGGCUGAGUAGAGCGGCGGGCGGGUGAGUAACGCGUAGGAAUCUACCUGGUAGUGGGGGACAACUUGGGGGAACUCAAGCUAAUACCGCAUACGCCCUAUGGGGGAAAGCGGGGGACCUUCGGGCCUCGCGCUAUCAGAUGAGCCUGCGUAGGAUUAGCUUGUUGGUGAGGUAAAGGCUCACCAAGGCGACGAUCCUUAGCUGGUCUGAGAGGAUGAUCAGCCACACUGGGACUGAGACACGGCCCAGACUCCUACGGGAGGCAGCAGUGGGGAAUAUUGCGCAAUGGGGGCAACCCUGACGCAGCCAUGCCGCGUGUGUGAAGAAGGCCUUCGGGUUGUAAGCACUUUCAAUGGGGAAGAAAAGCGGGUCGUUAAUAGCGGUCCGCCCUGACAUUACCUUUAGAAGAAGCACCGGCUAACUCCGUGCCAGCAGCCGCGGUAAUACGGAGGGUGCGAGCGUUAAUCGGAAUUACUGGGCGUAAAGCGCGCGUAGGUGGUUUGUUAAGUCAGCUGUGAAAGCCCCGGGCUCAACCUGGGAACUGCAGUUGAUACUGGCCGACUAGAGUACGAGAGAGGGAGGUAGAAUUCCAUGUGUAGCGGUGAAAUGCGUAGAUAUAUGGAGGAAUACCGGUGGCGAAGGCGGCCUCCUGGCUCGAUACUGACGCUGAGGUGCGAAAGCGUGGGGAUCAAACAGGAUUAGAUACCCUGGUAGUCCACGCCGUAAACGAUGUCUACUAGCCGUUGGGAGACUUGAUUUCUUAGUGGCGCAGCUAACGCAAUAAGUAGACCGCCUGGGGAGUACGGCCGCAAGGUUAAAACUCAAAUGAAUUGACGGGGGCCCGCACAAGCGGUGGAGCAUGUGGUUUAAUUCGAUGCAACGCGAAGAACCUUACCAGGUCUUGACAUCCUCGGAACUUUCCAGAGAUGGAUUGGUGCCUUCGGGAACCGAGAGACAGGUGCUGCAUGGCUGUCGUCAGCUCGUGUCGUGAGAUGUUGGGUUAAGUCCCGUAACGAGCGCAACCCUUGUCCUUAGUUGCCAGCACGUAAUGGUGGGAACUCUAAGGAGACUGCCGGUGACAAACCGGAGGAAGGUGGGGACGACGUCAAGCCAUCAUGGCCCUUACGACCUGGGCUACACACGUGCUACAAUGGAACGCACAGAGGGCAGCAAAAGCGCAAGCUGGAGCCAAUCCCACAAAACGUUCCGUAGUCCGGAUCGGAGUCUGCAACUCGACUCCGUGAAGUCGGAAUCGCUAGUAAUCGUGGAUCAGAAUGCCACGGUGAAUACGUUCCCGGGCCUUGUACACACCGCCCGUCACACCAUGGGAGUGGGUUGCUCCAGAAGUGGUUAGCCUAACCUUCGGGGGGGCGAUCACCACGGAGUGAUUCAUGACUGGGGUGAAGUCGGAACAAGGUA